rnacentral:rRNA from 1 species
GACAGAGGUGCCAAGCGUUAAGCGGAAUCACUGGGCUUAAAGCGUGUGUAGGUGGAUUUGUAAGUACCUUGUGAAAUCCCACGGCUCAACCGUGGAACUGCUCGGUAUACUGCGAAUCUUGAGCCACUUAGGGGCUACCGGAACAAAUGGUGGAGCGGUGAAAUGCGUAGAUAUCAGUUGGAACGCCAAUGGUGAAAACAGGUAGCUGGGAGUGUGCUGACACUGAGACACGAAAGCCAGGGGAGCGAACGGG